rnacentral:rRNA from 1 species
UGGCGGACGGGUGAGUAACGCGUGGAAAACCUGCCGUAUACUGGGGGAUAACACUUAGAAAUAGGUGCUAAUACCGCAUAAGCGCACAGCUUCGCAUGAAGCGGUGUGAAAAACUCUGGUGGUAUACUAUGGUUCCGCGUCUGAUUAGCUAGUUGGUGGGGUAAUGGCCUACCAAGGCAACGAUCAGUAGCCGGCCUGAGAGGGUGAACGGCCACAUUGGGACUGAGACACGGCCCAAACUCCUACGGGAGGCAGCAG